UGUUGCUGGUGCUUACCAUUGGCUGUGUUGUGACUGUGACCGUACAGAAAGAAGAAGCAGAGUGAACCUACCCAUGUACACCGCAGCCCUGCCCUGCGCCUGCCUUGUGAAUGUGGGGGGACGCGG